AGCGAACGCUGGCGGCAGGCCUAACACAUGCAAGUCGAACGAACUCUUCGGAGUUAGUGGCGGACGGGUGAGUAACACGUGGGAACGUGCCUUUAGGUUCGGAAUAACUCAGGGAAACUUGUGCUAAUACCGAAUGUGCCCUUCGGGGGAAAGAUUUAUCGCCUUUAGAGCGGCCCGCGUCUGAUUAGCUAGUUGGUGAGGUAAAGGCUCACCAAGGCGACGAUCAGUAGCUGGUCUGAGAGGAUGAUCAGCCACAUUGGGACUGAGACACGGCCCAAACUCCUACGGGAGGCAGCAGUGGGGAAUCUUGCGCAAUGGGCGAAAGCCUGAUGCAGCCAUGCCGCGUGAAUGAUGAAGGUCUUAGGAUUGUAAAAUUCUUUCACCGGGGACGAUAAUGACGGUACCCGGAGAAGAAGCCCCGGCUAACUUCGUG
rnacentral:rRNA from 1 species